AGAGAGGUGUCCGAGCGGUCGAAGGAGCACGCCUGGAACGCGUGUGUGUGGCAACUCACCGAGGGUUCGAAUCCCUUCCUCUCUGCCA
rnacentral:tRNA from 1 species